rnacentral:rRNA from 1 species
UACGUAGGGUGCAAGCGUUAAUCGGAAUUACUGGGCGUAAAGCGUGCGCAGGCGGUGAUGUAAGACAGUUGUGAAAUCCCCGGGCUCAACCUGGGAACUGCAUCUGUGACUGCAUUGCUGGAGUGCGGCAGAGGGGAUGGAAUUCCGGCGUGUAGCAGUGAAAUGCGUAGAUAUGCGGAGGAACACCGAUGGCGAAGGCAAUCCC